UAACCAUGGUGAGGGCACUUUCUCAAGAGGUCUUUGUAUCUCUCCCAUGCAUCGUAGAGUGUUUCUAAAUCCAUCUGCAGAAAGGAAGAGAUAUCAUUAUGUAAUUUA
rnacentral:snoRNA from 1 species